UUAAGUUCUACGGGGAAGCAAAAAAACAGCGCGGGGUUAGCGUUGCCGGCACGUGCAUGACGUGCCGGCUGCGCGAUAGCGGCAUGCACGACGGGGCCAACCAUCGUCGAACGUCCAUCGCAUGCGGGCAGACUUGCAGACCAGCACGACUUGCCGUCCAACCGGGGGAGCAGCAUCGGGCGGCGGUGGACGUUUCUCGAUC
rnacentral:ncRNA from 1 species